UACGUAGGGGGCAAGCGUUGUCCGGAUUUACUGGGCGUAAAGAGCGUGUAGGCGGUCAGGUAGGUCCGUUGUGAAAACUCGAGGCUCAACCUCGAGACGCCGAUGGAAACCAUCUGACUAGAGUCCGGAAGAGGAGAGUGGAAUUCCUGGUGUAGCGGUGAAAUGCGCAGAUAUCAGGAAGAACACCCGUGGCUAAGGCGGCUCUCUAGUACGGUACUGACGCUGAGACGCGAAAGCGUGGGGAGCGAACAGG
rnacentral:rRNA from 1 species